AGUUCUCCAUCUGUAAAAUAGGAAGAAGAAGAAUAGCCCUUCCUUUUCUUCCUCCCUUUGCUUGUCUUGCCUAUCUAAGCUCUUCAAGAACAACAGCAAGGAAGCCAUUCCUGAGGUGGCACUCAAGCCCAGUGUCUUACUACUUGACCGUCUGGAGAAGAUGGACUGCCGAGAAGGGGAACUGAGGCACAGAGAGAUGAAGAGAUUUGCCCAGGGUUAAACAGGAAAUCUGAGGAAGGCAAACCGAGACCUCCGGAGUCCCAAUCCAGUGCCUUUACCACAAAA